GAGCAGGUGCCUACAAACAGCCCUAGAACAUGCAAAAACAUAGGUACAGUUUUCCCCCAGUGUGCAGAGGAGACCUCUUUGGGGACAGUCUGGGAAGCUCUCACACCAUGGAUCCCAGACGUGUUUAACAUUGGAAAGAAAGAUGGGGCCGCACGGUUUCCCGCAGUCCUCGAUGGCCGGGACGUUCAGAACUGUGACAGCAAGCAUCAUGAUCAGACCCCAGAUUGUACUGGAUUUCUCUGAGGUAAGAGCUGUUCUUUAAAAGAGGAGUGGCUGACAGUUUGCGCAUGGCUUCCCCCAUCCUGAGGGCCCUCUGCUUGCAACUCUCCUGCUCCACUGGAAUGUUCAGCAUGAACCUCUUUUCCAACCCUUUCAACACCAAACACCUGGGGUAUUCCUACAAACAUCACUGACAAUGAACUCCAGGUAAUACGCUUUGGUUUAAGGGACCUUUUGUUCAUUUGAGACAAUGCUUCCAUCAGUUCUGGUCCACAUCAGUCUUUUUUGAAUAUAGUGACCUGAGAACAUCAGGAACAGCCACACUCUCCAUACAGUGACAGAGAACAGGAGGGAAGAGCCAAGGAGGCUCACAUACAGUAUCACAGAGCACCCCAAACAUGGGCUCUUUACAGACAAGCCUGUAAUUCCUGGUCUUUUGAAGAUGUUUGCAAACUGCAGAGGGUUGGGACUGGAAAAGCCCCUUGCAGGACAGCUGCAGGAGGACAGAGGUGCCGGCUCCCCGCAGGCUGAUCCCACAGCUGAUCCUGCAGGUGGAUCCCACAGCUGAUCCCACAGCUGAUCUGAAGGUGGAUCCUACAGCUGA